ACACGCUGGCGGCGUGGAUUAGGCAUGCAAGUCGAACGGUAUGGACCUUUCGGGGUUCAGAGAGUGGCGAACGGGUGAGUAACACGUAGGUAAUCUACCCUCAAGACGGGGACAACCCAGGGAAACUUGGGCUAAUACCGGAUGUGUGUAGUGGCUAUUUUUCUGAUUAUCAUUAUUUACGUAAGUGAGUAAUAAUAAGAAGGGAAAGUGGUUAUUACAUAAAAGGUGGCGUAAGCUGCCGCUUGGGGAUGAGCCUGCGUCCUAUUAGUUAGUUGGUGAGGUAACGGCUUACCAAGGCGACGAUAGGUAGGCGGCCUUAACGGGUGGUCGCCCACACUGGGAUUGAGAUACGGCCCAGACUCCUACGGGAGGCAGCAGUCGAGAAUAGUCUACAAUGGACGGAAGUCUGAUAGUGCGACGCCGCGUGAACGAAGAAUCCCUUCGGGGUGUAAAGUUCUUUUAUACGUGAGCAGUGUCCUUUAUAUUAAUAGUAUAAGGGGAGAGAUAUUAGCGUAUGAAUAAGCAACGGCUAACUCCGUG
rnacentral:rRNA from 1 species